rnacentral:lncRNA from 1 species
GCCCGGUUUCGGCGAUGGGUUAUAGGGUCCGCGUCAGCCCCGCGCCCGCACAGCCAACGUCACGCCGCAUUCUUAUUUCCAAAGACCCCUGGAGCUUGGGGUCCCACCCCAGCGGUCUUUCGGGGCGUCCCCUGCCCUUCACGCGCCGCGCCGGCUCGGCCCGAAGCGCCCUGCGGACCCGCAGCCUGGGCCGCCCCGAACCUGACGGCCCCGCGGGGGUCGGACGCGGGAGGAACGGCCUCGCUUUCAGAGACGCAGCGGGAGGGCGGUCCCCGCUGUCCCUCUGGCCGGGUCCUCAGCACGCGUUCUCCUCACUCCCAGGACUAGCGAGCGGCGGGCGCGGACCGGGGCCUGGGGUCGGAGGCGGCGCAGCCAGAAAGGCCCCAGCGGCGCUGAGACGUUUGGGGGAAGGCGGGGGCUUCGCGUUUCGAUGGCGGGAAGCGGAAUGAGGUUGGACCGGCCGGGCCGGCGUUCAGGGACCCGGCGGGAGGCGGAGGGCUGGCGUCCUCGCGGACAUCCAUCUGCAGCGAACCAGGCAGAGGCUUUGGGAUUAGAUCCUUGACUCCUUGCGUCAGUAGUUAAGCUUUGUGAUGGUCUGAGGUCCAUGAAGGGAUUAAAACCAGGAACUGGCUCCUUCUCCAACCACUAAAGCCUCAUCUGGGCCCACAAGCCCUGGCUGUUCCCUGGAGCGUGACUGGAAGAUGCAGAAGGAACAUAAAGUAUGCAUUUUAUGAUACGACUCAGCUUGGAGGGAUGAAGUAGAAGGUCCUCACUGCACCUCAUGGCAGGCUGCUGACGGCAGAUAUUUUACCGGGCUCACUGAACUGGGCAGUCAGGGAAGGGUCGGCUCCUGCUCUGUCCAGCUGUCUUCAUAAGGGACUCUGUGACACUUUUUAUAAAAAUGACUUUGAUUUCUGCAUAAGAAGGCUUCCCAAGCUUGCUGUCUAGCAGUGGCUGCUACAGGGAAUUAUUCACAUGGCAGCAAGAGAGCCCUGGCUCCCUGGACCAGGACAUUCCCUUUGUGUGUGUUGGAAUGAGAGCAGGAGGAGUGCUGGUCAGAAGCCCCUCCCCAGGGCUCUGGGACUUCAGUGUUCUCAGACAAACUGGGCCGCUCCUCUGAGCUGGGA